rnacentral:rRNA from 1 species
UACGUAGGGUGCGAGCGUUGUCCGGAAUUAUUGGGCGUAAAGGGCUCGUAGGCGGUCUGUCGCGUCGGUAGUGAAAACUCAGGGCUUAACCCUGAGCCUGCUUCCGAUACGGGCAGACUGGAGUACUGCAGGGGAGACUGGAAUUCCUGGUGUAGCGGUGAAAUGCGCAGAUAUCAGGAGGAACACCGGUGGCGAAGGCGGGUCUCUGGGCCGUUACUGACGCUGAGGAGCGAAAGCGUGGGGAGCGAACAGG